rnacentral:tRNA from 1 species
AGAAAGGAAGCACAAUAGGUAGUGUAUUGGUCUCCAAAACCAAUGGCUGGGAGUUCGAAUCUCCUCCUUUCUG